GUGGGGAAUAUUGGGCAAUGGGCGGAAGCCUGACCCAGCAACGCCGCGUGAAGGAAGAAGGCUUUCGGGUUGUAAACUUCUUUUACCAGGGACGAAACAAAUGACGGUACCUGGUGAAUAAGCCACGGCUAACUACGUGCCAGCAGCCGCGGUAAUACGUAGGUGGCGAGCGUUAUCCGGAUUUAUUGGGUGUAAAGGGCGUGUAGGCGGGACAGCAAGUCAGAUGUGAAAACCAGAGGCUCAACCUCUGGCCUGCAUUUGAAACUGUUGUUCUUGAGUGUCGGAGAGGUAAUCGGAAUUCCGUGUGUAGCGGUGAAAUGCGUAGAUAUACGGAGGAACACCAGUGGCGAAGGCGGAUUACUGGACGAUAACUGACGCUGAGGCGCGAAAGCGUGGGGAGCAAACAGGAUUAGAAACCCCGGUAGUCC
rnacentral:rRNA from 1 species